CCAGUUUCAUGAUCAUCUCUCUCUCCCUCUCUCUCUCGUCAUUUCUUUCCCGUUCUUGUAUUCAUCGGAGGCCGGAAUUUUCUGUCGCCGCGACUGUUGUUCCAUUGAGAUCAUGCUCGGGUCAUAGUCGAGACACCAGAGUUGAUAGAACUGCCAAAAGGUAUCAAGUGAACCCUGAAAUCUGAAUCUUCUUGGUUCAGAGUAUCCCGUCCGAUUUUGUUGCGUGCAAUAAUAGUCCUAAGAUGCAUACGUCGAAUGAAAUGAUGUCUUAUGUAAUGAGGUGUGACAAACCCUGAACAGAAGAUCGUUUUACAAUUCUACAAAUUCAUUUAGGCUUGUGACCCCAAGAGAAACUAAAGCUUCACCAUGGAAGGAUUAAGCUUCCAUAACUGAUGACGUCUGCAAUGUUCUUGGUGUCUACAUCAGAUUCUAACUCAGACUCCCAAAGAACGAACAUGUCAAGAAUGGUGUUUUAUGUCAUGAACACGCCGGAGGAGAUAAGUAGAACCUCAUCAUUAUCAUUCACAUUUGCAUCAUCAUCGUCAUCAUUAACAUCUGCAUAAUUAACAUGGCUUUCGCAUUAUCAUCAUCAUUAGCAUUUGCAUCAUUAACAUGGCAUCUGUUGCAUCAUCACCAUUAGCAUUUGCAUAAUCACAUCACAUUAUAUCAUAAUUAUCACCAUACAAAUAACAACACAUCAUCUCAUAUACCGAAAUCAUCACCAUAUGUAACAGCACAUCAAAUCAUAUCAAAAUCACCACAAAACGCAUAAGAACACAUCAUCUCAUACAUCAAAAUCAUCUCCAUAUACGUAACUACACAUCAAAUCAUAUCAAAAUCAUCACAAAACGCGUGACAACAUAUCAUCUCACAAAUCAAAAUCAUCACCAUAUGCGUAACAACACAUCAAAUCAUAUCAAAAUCAUAACAAAACCCAUUACAACACAUAUUCUCAUUUAUCAAAAUCACCACCAUAUGCGUAACAACACAUCACAUCAUAUCAAAAUCAUCACCAUAUGCGUAACAACACACCAUCUCAUAUAUCAAAAUGUUCACCAUAUACGUAACAACACAUCAAAUCAUAUUAAAAUCAUCACAAAAAUGCGUAACAACACAUCAUCUCAUUAAUCAUCACCAUGUGUGACAACGCAUCAUAUCAUAUUAAAAUCAUCGUCGUAUGCAUAACAUCAUCGCAUCAUCAUUUGCAUAUUCAUCAUAGCGUAAUGCAUAUGCAUCAUAAUAUCAUCAUACCAUAUUUGCAUAUGCAUCGUAACAUCAUCAUUUGCAUAUGCAUCAUCACAUCAUUUCAUCAUUAUUUACAUAUAGAUCAUAAUACCAUAGCAUCAUAUUUGCAUAUGCAUCAACAUCAUAACAUCAAAGGACAAGAUAUAACAUCAUUUGCAUAUGCAACAUGAUAAUUUAUCCAACAUUCUUCCUCUCGUUGCAACAUCUCAAACGACGAGAGACCAUGUCAAAAGAGCCUUUUGGAGCGUUGACACCAUGGCUUGCCUAUAUCCUUUGGAGUUUUCUUGAUAUUUUGCAUACUGACCUCUAGUUGAUUAUGUGGCAUAAAUCUUGAUUCUUGUGUAAUGGAGAUAAAACUUAGGAAAUGGGUGGAUAAUUUGUUUUUGUUGUUGGAGUGGCUUGUGUUCGGUUUUCUUCAUCAGAUCAUAAUUGUCUUCUCAGGUUUGUCAUGGUUGCUCCUUUUCCCCCCUUUCCAUUAACUUCGCUAGUUCUUAUUUUUAGUACUUUUGUGAAAGCAGUUUAUUAUUGUGCAAUCACAUUGUUUUUGAAGUGUAAUAAUAUUAUGAUAAUGUUAUUCGUGUGACUUUUCUUUCUUCAAUGUUUUCUACAGCCGAGUAGACAGCCCAUCACAUGAAGUAGAGAUUCAACGUAAGAACAAGGUGGAGCUGCCUAACUAAGGAUAUUAGGUUAUCAUGAGAUAUAAGAUGGUUUGAGUGUCCCAACAGAAUCAAGGUCAUAGUUGAGAGACCAUUGGAGAGCUGGUAGAACUGCUGACCUCACAGACAAUGGCAAUAAGGUUCUUGGUCUGCUACAGCUUCUUCUUCAUCUGCGAUCAGGUCUUCAUCAACAUUGUAUCUUUGGCGAGAAAUUUCAGCAUGCAAGGUGAAAAACAGUGAUCCAAAGCUUAAUUCGGCUGAAGAGAGGUUACUUAUCAUCUUUCAGGUGAUGAAAAUUGAAUUGAAGAUUGUUAUACAGUUUUCCAACUCAUCUGUGCUUACAACCCAAAUAGAAAGUGAGCCUCUCCAUGGAACACAAAAUGUAAAAUUUUUACAUUGAUUUGGUGUUUUUAUGCAUUGGAUUGCAGAAGACAUGUGUCCUCAAGUAUGAUUAGAGGAGAAAUCUCAGGCGAACAUUGGCAUACUGGCGAUGAGGUAUGUGGUCCAUCAAGGGUCAAGAGCUUUUAAACAAAUGGUUUAUCGAAGUUCAUGGUUUUGAUGAACUUAAUGGAAUAUCUGGCAAUUUACUCACACAAAAAUGGUUUGACAAAAUAGAAUUGAAGAUUGUACAAUUGCUCAAAACGGCUUAGUUAUCAACCGAAAGAAAAGACAGCCCAUCACAUGAAAUAGAGAUUCAACGUAAGAACAAGGAGGAACCGCCUGACUAAGAAAAUUAGGUUAUCAGAAUCAAGGUCACAGCUGAGAGGCCAUUGGAGAGAUGAUAGAACUGCUGACCUCAAAGACAAUGGUAAUAAGGAAAAGAUAUUGGAAGGGCUCACAUCAAAAUUCAGAUCCCUAGGUCUUCCAUGUCAAUGCACCAAUUCUUGAAUUGCAGACAUUGUUUUUCUGAAGAAACAAGUUCUAAACUGAUCAUUAUGCUUGACUAUAUCUUCAGGUUUGUUUGGCGAGAAAUCUCAGCACGCAAGGUGAACAAACAAUGAUCCAAAGAUUAAUUCGGCUGAAGAGAGGUGAUGAAAAUUGAAUUGAAGAUUUGUUAUAUAGUUUUCCAACUCAUCUGGGUUUACAGCCCAAAUAGAAAGUGAGCCUUUCCAUGGAAGACAAGAUGUAAAACUUUUGCCCUGCUUUGGAGUUGUUAUGAAUUGGAUUGCAGAAGACAUGUGUCCUCAAGUAUGAUUUGAGGAGAAAACUCAGGCGAACAUUGGCGUACUGACGAUGAGGUACGUGGUCUGUCAAGGAACAAGAGCUUAAACAAAUGGUUUAUGGAAGCUCAUGGUUUUGAUGAACUUAAUGGAAUAUCUGGCAAUUUACUCACACAAAAAGGGGUUUGAUAAAAUGGAAUAGAAGAUUGUACAUUGCUCAAAAGGCUUAGUUGUCAACCCAAAAAAAGCUCAUCACAUGAAAUUGAGAUUCAACGUAAGAACAAGGUGGAGCUGUCUGAGAAAGGAAGUUAGGUUAUCAGGAGAUAUAAGAUGGCUUGAGUGUCUCAAUAGAUUGGGGUCAUAGUCGAGAGACUCGGACCAUUGGAGAGCUGAUAGAACUAAUGGUCUCAAAGACAAUAACAAUAAGGAAAAGAUAUUGGAAGGGCUCACAUCAAAAUUGAGAUCUUCGGAUCUACUAUGUCGAUGCAUUGAAAGCUAUGAGCUUCAGAGGAAGAACCAAGCGCCGAACCGAUAAUUUUGGUCAGCCAUGCCUUCGUGUUUGAUUAGCGGAGCUAAUAUCAGGUAUGACGAAAACAGUACGGAAGAUGGUUCUACAAUUCUGCAAACUCAUUUGGGCUUACGACCCCAAGAGAAAGUGAAGCCUCGGCAUGGAAGGGUUGGUUAAGCUUCGAUAACUGAUGGCUUCUGGCAAUGUUCGUGGUGUCUACGUUAGAUUCUACCUCAGACCACCAAAUGACGAACGGAUGAAGAAUGGUGUUUACGUCAUGGGCACGCCAAAGGAGGUAAGUAGACUUCAUCCUCCUCCUCAUCAUUCACAUUUGCAUCAUCAUCAGCAUCUGCAUCAUACUCAUCAUCAUUAGCAUCUGCAUCA